rnacentral:rRNA from 1 species
GAUGAACGCUAGCGGCAGGCCUAAUACAUGCAAGUCGAGGGGUAGAGCUAGCUUGCUAGCUUGAGACCGGCGCACGGGUGCGUAACGCGUAUGCAACCUACCCUUUUCUGGGGGAUAGCCCGGAGAAAUCCGGAUUAAUACCGCAUAAGACCACGAUACGGCAUCGUGAUGUGGUCAAACAUUUAUGGGAGAAGGAUGGGCAUGCGUGCCAUUAGCUAGUUGGCGGGGUAACGGCCCACCAAGGCGACGAUGGCUAGGGGAUCUGAGAGGAUGGCCCCCCACACUGGUACUGAGACACGGACCAGACUCCUACGGGAGGCAGCAGUAAGGAAUAUUGGUCAAUGGGGGCAACCCUGAACCAGCCAUGCCGCGUGCAGGACGACGGCCCUCCGGGUUGUAAACUGCUUUUGUACGGGAAUAAACCCCGCUACGUGUAGUGGGCUGAAUGUACCGUAAGAAUAAGGAUCGGCUAACUCCGUGCCAGCAGCCGCCGAACAC